AGUGAACGCUGGCGGCGUGCUUAACACAUGCAAGUCGAACGAGAACGGAUUAUAGCUUGCUAUAAUUGUCAGCUAAGUGGCGCACGGGUGAGUAAUGUAUAGGUAAUAUGCCUCUUACUAAGGGAUAACAAUUGGAAACGAUUGCUAAUACCUUAUAUUCCUUUUUAUCAAAAGAUAAAAAGGGAAAGAUUUAUUGGUAAGAGAUUAGCCUGUAUUGUAUCAGUUAGUUGGUGGGGUAAUGGCCUACCAAGACGAUGACGCAUAACUGGUUUGAGAGGAUGAUCAGUCACACUGGAACUGAGACACGGUCCAGACUCCUACGGGAGGCAGCAGUGGGGAAUAUUGCACAAUGGACGAAAGUCUGAUGCAGCAAUGCCGCGUGGAGGAUGACACAUUUCGGUGCGUAAACUCCUUUUAUAUAAGAAGAUAAUGACGGUAUUAUGUGAAUAAGCACCGGCUAACUCCGUGCCAGCCGCCGCAGUAA
rnacentral:rRNA from 1 species